CAAAACCAAAAAAUGGUUAAAAUUCAACCGUGAAUACGGAAGAACAGUUGUCGGGUGCAAGCGCCAGUGUUAACUGUUUUGUUCCGCAUCGGAUUUAUUUUGUACCUCCGCUGGCUGGGAACAAACUUCUAUCGGAGAACUGGACUGGGAGAUUUUAAAGGCCAUAAGCAGCAUCGGAACAAAGGUUAGCAGAUCAACCGGGUGUCGCAAAAUGUUUCUGCUAAGGAAAAAGCAACGAUAGACUGACCCGAAUAUGGACAAGAGGGAUCCGGAUGUGGGCCCCAAUUUUAAAGUUGCUUCCAUAAUAUCAAGGUACUGAGGGACAAUACCUAUUGGAAAGAAGUGCCGUCGUACGAUUGAUCCGGAACAAUUGUUCCAAAUACUUUCCUCCCAAUUCGGCAUCUCCCGAGCGCGAGCUUAUAGUUUGAUACGGAAUGCAAAUACAGACGUUUUGAUAUUUAAAAUAUAU